rnacentral:tRNA from 1 species
GGGAUCUUAGCUCAGCUGGGAGAGCAUCUGCCUUACAAGCAGAGGGUCACAGGUUCGAGCCCUGUCGGUCCCA